rnacentral:rRNA from 1 species
UACGGAGGGUGCGAGCGUUGUCCGGAAUCACUGGGCGUAAAGGGCGCGUAGGUGGCUACUCAAGCGCGCGGUGAAAGCCCGGGGCUCAACCCCGGGUCGGCCGUGCGGACUGGGAGGCUCGAGCACUGUAGGGGCGGGUGGAAUUCCGGGUGUAGCGGUGGAAUGCGUAGAGAUCCGGAAGAACACCGGUGGCGAAGGCGGCCCGCUGGGCAGGAAGGGGUGGGUAGCAAACAGG